rnacentral:rRNA from 1 species
UACAGAGGGUGCGAGCGUUAAUCGGAAUUACUGGGCGUAAAGCGCGCGUAGGCGGCUUUGCAAGUCGGGUGUGAAAUCCCCAGGCUUAACCUGGGAACUGCGCUUGAGACGGGAUGGCUAGAGAUCGGGAGAGGAGAGUGGAAUUCCCAGUGUAGAGGUGAAAUUCGUAGAUAUUGGGAAGAACACCGGUGGCGAAGGCGGCUCUCUGGACCGAUACUGACGCUGAGGCGCGAAAGCGUGGGGAGCAAACAGG